UACGUAGGGCGCAAGCGUUGUCCGGAAUUAUUGGGCGUAAAGAGCUCGUAGGCGGCUUGUCACGUCGGAUGUGAAAGCCCGGGGCUUAACUCCGGGUCUGCAUUCGAUACGGGCUAUCUAGAGUGUGGUAGGGGAGAUCGGAAUUCCUGGUGUAGCGGUGAAAUGCGCAGAUAUCAGGAGGAACACCGGUGGCGAAGGCGGAUCUCUGGGCCAUUACUGACGCUGAGGAGCGAAAGCGUGGGGAGCGAACAGG
rnacentral:rRNA from 1 species